AUUGAACGCUGGCGGCAGGCCUAACACAUGCAAGUCGGACGGUAGCACAGAGAGCUUGCUCUUGGGUGACGAGUGGCGGACGGGUGAGUAAUGUCUGGGGAUCUGCCCGAUAGAGGGGGGUAACCACUGGAAACGGUGGCUAAUACCGCAUAACGUCGCAAGACCAAAGAGGGGGACCUUCGGGCCUCUCACUAUCGGAUGAACCCAGAUGGGAUUAGCUAGUAGGCGGGGUAAUGGCCCACCUAGGCGACGAUCCCUAGCUGGUCUGAGAGGAUGACCAGCCACACUGGAACUGGGACACGGUCCAGACUCCUACGGGAGUCAGCAGUGGGGAGUAUUGCACAAUGGGCGCAAGCCUGAUGCAGCCAUGCCACGUGUAUGAAGAAGGCCUUCGGGUUGUAAAGUACUUUCAGCGGGGAGGAAGGCGGUGAGGUUAAUAACCUUGCCGAUUGACGUUACCCGCAGAAGAAGCACCGGCUAACUCCGUGCCAGCCGCCGCCGUAA
rnacentral:rRNA from 1 species